rnacentral:rRNA from 1 species
GAUGAACGCUGGCGGCGUGCCUAAUACAUGCAAGUCGAGCGAACAGACGAGGAGCUUGCUCCUCUGACGUUAGCCGCGGACGGGUGAGUAACACGUGGAUAACCUACCUAUAAGACUGGGAUAACUUCGGGAAACCGGAGCUAAUACCGGAUAAUAUAUUGAACCGCAUGGUUCAAUAGUGAAAGACGGUUUUGCUGUCACUUAUAGAUGGAUCCGCGCCGCAUUAGCUAGUUGGUAAGGUAACGGCUUACCAAGGCAACGAUGCGUAGCCGACCUGAGAGGGUGAUCGGCCACACUGGAACUGAGACACGGUCCAGACUCCUACGGGAGGCAGCAGUAGGGAACCUUCCGCAAUGGGCGAAAGCUUGACGGAGCAACGCCGCGUGAGUGAUGAAGGUCUUCGGAUCGUAAAACUCUGUUAUUAGGGAAGAACAAAUGUGUAAGUAACUAUGCACGUCUUGACGGUACCUAAUCAGAAAGCCACGGCUAACUACGUG